GACGAACGCUGGCGGCGUGCCUAAUACAUGCAAGUAGAACGCUGAAGGAGGAGCUUGCUCUUCUGGAUGAGUUGCGAACGGGUGAGUAACGCGUAGGUAACCUGCCUGGUAGCGGGGGAUAACUAUUGGAAACGAUAGCUAAUACCGCAUAAGAGUAGAUGUUGCAUGACAUUUGCUUAAAAGGUGCAAUUGCAUCACUACCAGAUGGACCUGCGUUGUAUUAGCUAGUUGGUGGGGUAACGGCUCACCAAGGCGACGAUACAUAGCCGACCUGGGGGGGGGGUCCGCCACACUGGGACUGGGACACGGCCCAGACUCCUACGGGAGGCAGCAGUAGGGAAUCUUCGGCAAUGGACGGAAGUCUGACCGAGCAACGCCGCGUGAGUGAAGAAGGUUUUCGGAUCGUAAAGCUCUGUUGUAAGGGAAGAAAGAGUGUGAGAGUGGAAAGUUCACACUGUGACGGUAUCUUAACAGAAAGGGACGGCUAACUACGUG
rnacentral:rRNA from 1 species